GAGGGUUUGGCUCAGCAGUAGAGUGCUUGCCUAGCAUGCUUGAGGUCCUGGGUUCAAUUCCCAGUACCUCCA
rnacentral:tRNA from 1 species